GAUGAACGCUGGCGGCGUGCCUAAUACAUGCAAGUCGAGCGAAUGGAUUAAGAGCUUGCUCUUAUGAAGUUAGCGGCGGACGGGUGAGUAACACGUGAGUAACCUGCCCAUAAGACUGGGAUAACUCCGGGAAACCGGGGCUAAUACCGGAUAACAUUUUGAACCGCAUGGUUCGAAAUUGAACGGCGGCUUCGGCUGUCACUUAUGGAUGGACCCGGGUCGCAUUAGCUAGUUGGUGAGGUAACGGCUCACAAAGGCAACGAUGCGUAGCCGACCUGAGAGGGUGAUCGGCCACACUGGGACUGAGACACGGCCCAGACUCCUACGGGAGGCAGCAGUAGGGAAUCUUCCGCAAUGGACGAAAGUCUGACGGAGCAACGCCGCGUGAGUGAUGAAGGCUUUCGGGUCGUAAAACUCUGUUGUUAGGGAAGAACAAGUGCUAGUUGAAUAAGCUGGCACCUUGACGGUACCUAACCAGAAAGCCACGGCUAACUACGUGCCAGCCGCCGCGGUAA
rnacentral:rRNA from 1 species